GCUGGGUACCGGGCAGACAUGUCGUGGCUGUCGCCCGGGCAUCAUCUCCGUCGUUCUCUCAGCCUUCUCAGCCUCCUCCUGCUCUUCCUAGCUGCUGACUUGGGAUGGAUGAGAAGGGUGACCAAAAUGCAGAGGCAGACACCUGGAAUGAGAAACUUGCGUUAACCUGCGCCGCGUUGACCUUGUUGAAAUAAUAUUACUUCUCAGAAACAGUGAAAAUUGCAACAGAUGCGAAGCUUAAACAUUCGUAUCGUCUACAACAAAUACACAAAUUGGAGGUGAAUCUUCAGACAACUUUCGGGUCCAUUCUGGACCAUCCUAGAGCCACGAUGUUUAGGGAGGACCACAACAUCGUGAGACUGAUCUCCCAAGAGGAGCCAGAGGCGAUGGAAAUGGUGAUGGAAAUGGUGAUGGAAACUGAGUGAUGGAAACUGAGUGAUGGAAAUGGUGUGAUGGAAAUGGUGUGAUGGAAAUGGUGUGAUGGAAAUGGUGUGAUGGAAAUGGUGUGUUGGAAAUGGUUGUGUUGGA